UACGUAGGGGGCAAGCGUUGUCCGGAAUCAUUGGGCGUAAAGAGCGUGUAGGCGGCCAGAUAAGUCCGCUGUGAAAUCUCGAGGCUCAACUUCGAGCUGUCGGUGGAAACCAUCUGGCUAGAGUCCGGAAGAGGAGAGUGGAAUUCCUGGUGUAGCGGUGGAAUGCGCAGAUAUCAGGAGGAACACCAAUAGCGAAGGCAGCUCGCUGGGACGGUACUGACGCUAAGGCGCGAAAGCGUGGGGAGCGAACAGG
rnacentral:rRNA from 1 species